UGGGAUUGGACAGCCCAUU
rnacentral:rRNA from 1 species